AGAGUUUGAUCAUGGCUCAGGACGAACGCNGGCGGCGUGCCUUACCCAUGCAANUNGGACGGGGGAGCANUCCCCAGUGGCAGACGGCUGAGUAACACGUGAGUGACCUGCCCAGAGGUGGGGGAUAGCCCCUCGAAAGAGGGGGUAAUACCGCGUAAGCUGGCGGGGGUAGAGACCCGUCAGGAAAGCAGAGAUGCGCCUUUGGAGGGGCUCGCGGCCCAUCAGGUAGUUGGUGGGGUAAUGGCCUACCAAGCUGAUGACGGGUAGCUGGUCUGAGAGGAUGAUCAGCCAGACUGGGACUGAGAGACGGCCCAGACUCCUACGGGGGGCAGCAGGGGGGAAUCUUGGACAAUGGGGGAAACCCUGAUCCAGCGACGCCGCGUGGAGGACGAAGGUCUUCGGAUCGUAAACUCCUUUUGACAGGGAAGAUGAUGACGGUACCUGUCGAAUAAGCCCCGGCUAACUACGUGCCAGCAGCCGCGGUAAUACGUAGGGGGCGAGCGUUGUCCGGAUUUACUGGGCGUAAAGAGCGCGUAGGCGGCCUGUUAAGUUGGCUGUGAAAGGUCCCGGCCCAACUGGGAUAAGUCAGCCGAGACUGGCGGGCUUGAGGGCGGUAGAGGAAGGUGGAAUUCCGGGUGUAGUGGUGAAAUGCGUAGAUAUCCGGAGGAACACCGGUGGCGAAGGCGGCCUUCUGGGCCGUACCUGACGCUGAGGCGCGAAAGCGUGGGGAGCGAACUGAAUUAGAUACUCAGGUAGUCCACGCCCUAAACGAUGGACGCUAGGUGUAGGGGGUAUCGACCCCUCCUGUGCCGAAGCUAACGCAUUAAGCGUCCCGCCUGGGGAGUACGGCCGCAAGGCUAAAACUCAAAGGAAUUGACGG
rnacentral:rRNA from 1 species